rnacentral:lncRNA from 1 species
UUUUUCCAUGAUCUUCAAAAAAUCAUAACUAAUUGUAAAAUCAUCCAAUUAAUUCCAGGUUUUUUGCUACUUGAUCCUUGAAAUAUCUAGAAUUUUAUGGUUUUGAUUUUAUGAUUUUUCCAUUUCUGGAUUUUGAAUUGUGGCUGAUUAUGUGGACAUGUAUGCUUUUGUGACAUUGCCUUGUUCUUUCCAUUGUGAAAUGCUUGAUAUUGAUCCAAUUGCCAUGAAAUUUUG